GGCGAACGGGUGUGUAACGCGUAGACAAACUGCCCUUCAGUCCGGGACAACCCUGUGAAAACGGGACUAAGACCGGAUGGUAUCAUCGCCUAGCAUGGGGCUUUGAUUAAAGAUCUCGAAUCGCUGAAGGAUGGGUCUGCGUGACAUUAGCUACUUGGUGGGGUAACUGCCUACCAAGGCUUCGAUGUCUAGCUGGUCUGAGAGGAUGAUCAGCCACACUGGGACUGAGAUACGCCCCAGACUCCUACGGGAGGCUGCAGUGAGGAAUAUUGCGCAAUGGGGGCAACCCUGACGCAGCAACGCCGCGUGUGUGAAGAAGCAGUUUUCUGUGUAAAACACUGUUAAUCGGCACGAAAGGAUUGGUUUGCAGCCCAUCUUGACUGUACCGGUAGAGGAAGCUCCGGCUAACUCCGUGCCAGCAGCCGCGGUAAUACGGGGGGAGCGAGCGUUGUCCGGAAUCAUUGGGCGUAAAGGGCAUUCAGCUGGGUCUUUAAGUCAGUUGUUAAAUCUUACGGCUUAACCGUAUUCUGCAAUUGAUACUCGAGAUCUUGAGUUUGAGAGCGGACAGUGGAAUACCUAGUGUAGCGGUGGAAUGCGUUGAUAUUAGGUAGAACACCUGAGGCGAAGGCGACUGU
rnacentral:rRNA from 1 species